rnacentral:lncRNA from 1 species
UUUAAUUUCUUUUAAUAAUUAUAUAUAUAUAUAUAAUUUUUUUUUACCCGAUAUAGAAUUGGAGUACUCGUGAAUAUAAGGUAUUUAUAUUAACAUUGAUUUUGAUGAUAUUCUUUCUUUGCAAUCAUGAAUAUGAGUAAGUAAUUCUCACGAAACUAGAAUAAAUAUAUCAUUUUUUUUUAAUAUAUACAUAUAAACUGUUGUUACGUAUGCAAUAUGCAUGCAUACUAUGAAUUACUAAUCAUCGAUUUAAAAUUAUUUAUAAGUAUGUUUGGGUUCAAAAUACAAGUUUGGUCAGAAAAUGUGUAAUUUGGAAUGGGCCAUGCACGCCACGUGGGUAUUAGUGUUAAAAUAUGGCAUCCCGGUAAAGUUCAAUAACGCUUUAUGUGAUUGAUAUUUGGAAGUACUUAAACGACGAGGAUGCAACUGUUGGGUUCGGUUCGGGGUUCCGCUCACUUCUCUCUCUCCCUCCCUCAAUUUUCACUUUCUCUGUGCGGCUGAGGCGGGUGAUUGGCAGUCAGAUUCAGCUCUUUCUUUCUCCCUCUCUCUCUAUCUAUCUCAGAGAGUGCUUUAGGCCAUGGGUAAUUAGGAAGAAUUAAAUUAAUUUAAAAGCACUCAACUUUGAUUUGUCUGAGAGUUUUUGGAGUAUUUAUAUGCUCAAAUUUGUUUGCUUGUCAGUCUGAUUCUGUGUUCACCUGAUGUAAUUGAAUCAAUUGAUUGGCAGAAUCCCUUGUUUCUUCUGUGGAUUAAUUGGAUUAGAAAUUUGUGUAUUAUUUACCCUUGACAUGCUUGAGCAAGCCCAAAACCAUAUUUUAUUUAGUUGGAUUUUUCUUGCUUAUUACUAACAUGUUUCGUUUCUGGGGUGCAGUUGAAAUCAUUGAAGCCUCUUGCUUUUGCCCUUUGAUCAUCUUUAUCACCGCUUGAGUGUCAAAAUCAGCGGUUUCCUGGUCUUGAACGAAAAGGUGUUUAUGUCAGUCCUAAUUUUUGUAUAUCUUGUGCAGUUUCGGGUAUAGAAUACCCUCAGAAGCUGACAGCCUGACUUUAAUUAUGCAUCCUGCCAUGAGAGGCCAUAACAGUACUUGUGAGUUUCCAUGGUUUGAAACAAGAGCCAGUUGUGGUAGGUACAUAUAAUGACUUAGUUCUGUGCUGCACAAGCGAGUUUAACCAGCGUGAUUACUACAUCUGCAAUCCAUAUACAAUCCAGUGGGUUCCUCUUCCUCCCCCACCACAAGUGUGCAAGUUUGUACUAGUGGGAUUCAUCUGUGAUCUUCCCUACUAUAACAACAAGGAAGAUUAUCAGCCAGGAGAUAUGAUCCAGCUUAAUGCGAAUUAUAGGUGCAGGGUUGUGAGAUUAAUGGAUCCUGAUGAUGCCGAUGACGAGGACAAGGACAUAAUAUAUUUCAGCAACUUCAAACUCAUCGACAUGAGAGAUUUCUGCACGUUCAAAGUGCAGAUCUUCUCUUCUGAGACUGGUGAAUGGAAGGAGACAACUGUAAGAUCCGAGAGAACUGUAACAUCCGCGUACAACUUUACUUUGGAAAUGAUGAGUGUCUGUACUGGCGUUGCUUCCAAACUAAUGCUGUAUUGGAUGGGCGAUGAUGAUGUCAUUCUUAUUCAGUUGGAUCCGUUCAUGAUCGACAAGAGUGCUAGUGCUACUUUAUCUACCUGUUAUAGACACCGUAUCAGGAAUGAGUGGGACGCUCUUCCAAUGAGGUGCAUAGCAGCGUAUGAUGGGGGUGUGCGGAUGUGCAACUAGGACUAUGUUUCCGCCUAUCUGUCUGUUUGUGAGUUGAAGGAAGAAGAAGAAGAUGAUGAUGAUCCGAGGGUGAGUAUCCAUGGAGGAUCAAAGAGUUUGUUUGUGAAACUUAAGAAGAGGGUUUAUUUGGUGGAUGAAACAAAGGUUGUGAUAGGUCCAUGGACAGAGAUUGAGGGGGUAUUUUUUGACCAAAAUAACGAGGAUACCUUGUAUAUGAUAGUAGAUACGAAGAAGCUCCAUGGUCGGAUAAAAGAUACUAUCAGGUGCAACAUUGUAACCGGAGAGGUGUCAAAGAUUGUUGGAAACAGAAAAUUUAAUUGUUUCAGAUUCUUCCCGAUUGUGAUCCUAUGGUGGCCGACUCCAGUCCCUCGACUAGCGCAAGGUGCAAUAUCCAAAUAGCGCAGAGGUGUCAAAGUAAAUUUUUUCAAAUUCUUCCCGGCCGUUUGAAAGCUUAUGUUUCCUUCUUGUUUGGUUGGUUCGAUGGUGAAGUUUGCUACGCUGUGGACUCAAACAAGUGAAGCUGGAGAUGGGUAGGAAAUUGGCAGGCGGAAUAGGGGGUGGCAUUGGCAUGAAUGUACAGAUUUCUACAUUGUAUUUGUUCAUCUCUCAAAGCCGUCGUCUUGUUAACUCAUUAUGCUUUAUUUUAUUUUCUUUGCUUCAAUUUCAAUAACUCAUUCCGCUUUAUUGCAUGAUGUCUUCGGUUAGCUUCAAGGGCUUCAAAUCUUUUCUUAUAGUCUCUUUCCAAGUCUUCCUAUAUAUUUCUUUACCUCUUUGGCCGCAACCUUCUAUCUCGUAAUCAUAUCUUCUAACCAGAGCGGAGAAUCUGUAUGUUUCAUUUCACAUGUCCAAAAACACAAUUGAAAUUUUAUGCAAUUAAUCAAUUUGUUCAAAGUCAAUGAUUUGUUUUUUCUUUGACCGUGUCCGUGAGAAUCAAUUUCACGAGAGGACUAAGGGUGCGUUUGUUGCACCAAAUUAUUUUGGAUUGGACUAACUUUAGGGAUUAAGCUGGACUAGCUUAGAAUAAAGUAAGUUGGACUAAUUUAAUUGAAUGUUUGGUUUCGUAUCGAACUAAAAAGCAAGAUAAUAAAAAAAAUAAUAAUAAAUUCUAUGUUUUUCUUUUGCUUUUUCUUUUUCUUGUUCUAGGACACUCUCUUUGGACUAAGAAACCUCUCUCUUUCCUUUACCUUUUUUCCGUCCAAAUUCCACAACUCUGGACUAAGAAUCUCUCUUCCCUCUCCUUUUUUUUCGUCCAAAUUCCACAACUUUCUCCCUCCAUUUCAAUCAAUAAAGCUUCCAAAUCACAAAACGAAACACAAUCACAAAAUUCAAUUGAAAUCAAAAUCAAAAUCACAGCUAAGUCUCCUGUAUUCGUGACGGCGACGCUCUAAUUUCGAUCCCGACUUAUGUAUGGGUCGCGAACCAGGAUCGACUAGUCAAGAAUCUCAUAUCCUUGAGCUUGGAAAUCACCAGGUUAGGUCAGUUUGUGCUUGGUCUGGUGUGAUUUCGCAGGAUAGAGGAUAGAAGAAAGGACGCGAAGAGAGAGGGAGAUGACAUGAUUCUGUGACACAAACAACCAUAAGAGAACGAGAGAAGUAGAUAGAGGAGGUGAGAGCAGAGUAAGGUGUCUUAGUAAUCCAAAGGGGCAUUUGUUUGCCCUCGUUAAAGUUUGAUGGACCGGACGAAAUUUAAGAUUAGUCCAGUCCUAUAUUUGUUCCCAGCAAGGAUUAACUUUAGUGAGACUAACUCUCACUCGCCUCGACUAAAGACAAGACUAUCUGGUCUUAGGGAGUACCCCCGAGAACCAUGGGACUAGCUAAGACAAUCAUCUUUCUCAUCCUUGUCUUGCUUAACAACUACUCACGGCCACUCCUUGUGACAUUCGACCACACACUGCCGUUAACUUUUCGAUUUGACUAUCUCUUUCAAAUACAUUUCCCAACGAAUUUUCACAUAAAAAAUAUAUCAAACUAAAGCUAGGAGUGAGGGGAUUCCGUAUCUACCUGAAUUGAGGCCAAAAAGUGGUCGGAGGUGGCCGGAAAUUGGCUCGGAAGUCUCGGCAUGUUUGGGUUUCUUCGAAUCGAUGACAGAUUCGAGCAUGCAAAGCUUCGAUCUGUGUCCAGGGAUGGAGAGCAGUUUGUUGGUGGUGCUAACCUCAUUUAAUUUGACGAGGUUUAGCCGGAAAACAAGAUGGAAAACCUUCAACUUGUCGAAAAAAAAUGGAGAUGUAAGGUUUCGUCGAAUAACACAGAGCUAGAGCGAGGGAGAGAGGGGAGAGAGACUAGAAUCGAGAGGGAGUUGGACAGAAAAAAGGAGAGAUAGAGACUGGAAUUGAGAUGUCUAAUCUGGGAUAAUGAAGGGUGGGACGGAGAAAGGAGAGAAAAAGGGGGAGAGUGACGGUGAAAGAAGGAAAAGAGGGAGAAAAAUAUAGGAUAAUAAUAAAAUAUUAAUAUUUAUUAAUUAAAUAAUAUAAUAUUAUUUAUCUUGCUUUUUAGUCCAACAGAGCAUCAAACACUUCACUAAGCUAGUCCAGCUUAGUCUAUUCUAAGCCGGUCCAGCUUAAUCCCUCAAGUUAGUCCAGUCCGAGAUAGUCUGAUGUAACAAACGCAUCCCAAUGGUUUUGGAUGAGACACGCUAAGACCAGCUAGCCCUAUUGUUAGUCGAGGCGAGUCCUCCCUAGUACCACUAAUGUUAGUCCCGAGAGCAAACAAACACGGAUUGCACUAAAUCUUUAAUCCAAUCCAGUGAGAGCUAAAGAAGGCAAACAAACUCCCCCUAAAUUACAAGUUGGUAAUUUAAGUCCCCGUGUGGCGUGGGUGAGCGGUGCUGCAACUGAAACUAAGAGUGAAUGAGAAGGGAGACUAUUGAUAAUGGCCAGUGGAAUAGACAAUUGGUGUCUUCUAUUGUUGAUGAUGACAUUGUUAACAAGAUUUGUAGCAUUUCGUUGCCUUUGGUUCCUCAAUGUGACUCUUGAUGUUGAAGACCGAAUGCUAAUGGUAAAUUCUCGGUUAAAUCUGCAACGUGAAACCGUUUAGCUAGGCAUGUUAAUCUUCCCCAUUAGCUAGGCAUGCUAAUGGUAAAUUCUCGGUUAAAUCUGCAACGUGAAACCGUUUAGCUAGGCAUGUUGACUCUUGAUCUAAGGAUCUUUUAAAGAGAAUGUGGAACCAUAAUCUUCCCCAUGAAGUAAAAGUGUUUAGCUGGCUCCUCAUUCUGGGUAGGCUCCACACAAUAAACCGUUUAGCUAGGCAUGUUAAUACUAUCCCAACCAUUUGUCCCCUCUGUAACUUGGAGGAUGAAAGUUAAGUCACUUGUUUAUAAAUUGUAAUUUUGCAAGGCAGGUUUGGAAUAACCCAACUAUUUCUAAUUCUUUACUGACGAAUCAACUCUUGUGUUCAACUAUUGGCUUCAAUUCGUACACCACAAGAGUGAAGAUGACUUGUGUGAUUUAAAUAAGGCGCUUCUUAUUUGCUGGUAGAUUUGGAUAGAAAGAGAUCUCGUUGUUUUCCAAAAUAAAAAGCCUUACUAUACAAGAAUUGUUAUCUCCGCUAUUAGGGCAGAGAUCAUCUUAUAGCAAAUCAAAAGUUGCCUGGUAUUGCUAGUUGGCAUGACUCUCAUCCUAGUUCCAUCUGGUGGUCCCCUCCGAGCGGUGGUUUUGUCAAGCUCAACUUUGAUGGCUCAGCCGCUCAGUCAUUAGUCAGCAAGCGGCCUCGGGUUUAGUGAUCACAAAUGAGAAUGGCGAGCCUAUCGUUGCAGGGGCUCGAAGUAUUAGUCAGAAUACCAUCUCAGUUGCGGAAUGUUUGGUGUUGCGGGACGGCCCCUGGAUGGCUAAAUCUGGAAGCUUUAAGCGGAUCAUUAUUGAAAGCGACUGGAACCUUGUUAUUGACUAUUGAGUCUAUCCCGGCUUUUAUAACGUUCCUUGGAGACAGAGAACUAUCCUGGAGGACGUUCAUCGACUGGCGGGUUUCUUUGAGGAUAUUAGCGGGAAACAUGUGUUCAGGGAGGCCAAUUUAUUGGCGGAUAGCAUCACUAGUGUUGGUUUCUCUGUUAAUGAUUUUCAUAUCUGGGAUAGAACUCUUCCGAUGGCUGCUCGUCAGGCCUUUCUCUUUGGUUGUACUCAAACGGGUUGCCCUAGGGGUUUUUCUCUUUAAUUUAGUUAUUUUCUAACAAAAAAAAAUGUUUGAGUUAAAUGUGUAAUGUUAAUUUGAUGACUGAUGUGUUAGCGUUAGAUUUUCUAUUUCUCAAACCCAUAUGUUUUUUUGUUUGUUAUAAAUGAUAUUUGUAUGACUCAUUUCUAAAAAGAAAUCAAUCAAAAUAAUUUUUAAGAUUUAUAAUUGGUGCAUUAAUGGAAAUCACACAAUAAAAUAAUUAAGAAACUAAUUGACAUCACAUUUUUUUCAUAUGUCAAUCCACAGUUGGAGUUUCUUCAUACCUUCAAAUUUGAUUGCUUGAGGUUCCACUUAAGAUUCGACAUCUCGUUUGGAGAUGGUCAUAAGGUUUAAAGUGAUAUUUAAAUUGGACCAUGAUGUUUGUUUUAUUUCUCACAUUGCCCCUUAAUGUUUUGAAGUUAUAAACAUUUUGUAUAUCUGAACGUUUAGGUAUCUAUUAAAUUUAUACGGUUUUUAUGCUAUGUGGUGCAAAUAUAGUUUACAUGUCAAACUGAAAUACGAAAUUAUGCCUAAUGUAACAUAAAUUAAAUAAAAAUUCGAAUAAUUCAAUAAAUAAAUGUGUAAAUAGAUAUACUUUCAAAACUUUAUAAAGCAAUGUGGAAAUUUAAAACCGCGUGACCAUUUCAAAAAUCAACCCAAAACAUGGAGAGGGGGCUUUUGGUAUCGUUUGGUAUGUAGACGGGACGGGAUGAAAUGGAAUGAGACGGGAUGGGAUGGGAUAGGACAGGACGGAACGGAAAGGGAGCAAAGAUGUCCUCGGAUGGAAACAAGGAGGAAGAAGAAUGAGACGAAGAUGUUAUAAUUUUGUGUUCCACGGAUGUGGAACAAGUCGUUCCAGGGGGUGAGGCGGAACGAAAAUUCACCCAAAACUCGUCCCGUGGAACAACGUGUUCCACCCAUUUUAGGCGCACCAAAAGUUGAACUUCCCAUCGGAAUCCCCCAAGUUGCAGGCGAUUCAUCGAUCUUAAAUCUGGCCAAAUCCACCAUUUGAACAGGGAUUUCAAUGUCAUGGGUGUUCAGCGAGCAAUUGAUCGGGAUUUCAAUGUCAUGGGUGUUCAGCGAGCAGUUGAUCACACCUUCCAUUGAAUUGGAUGUGAAUUAGGGAAAAUUCGGAUGUGAAUUGGGGGAAAUUUGGAUAAGGAAAGUGUUCGGGUUUAGGCCAUCGCUUGGAAAAUGGGAAAUGUGAAGUCGCAACUCGACUGUGAGACUUUCGGCAUUUUACGCCGUCGUUUACCUUGAGUGGAUUGUAUUUUUGGUUCCUAAUACAAUCCAAUCGAGGCAAACAACGGCGUAAAAUGCCGAAAGUCUCACAGUCGAGUCGCGACUUCACAUUUCCCAUUUUCCAAGCGACGGCCUAAACCCGAACACUUUCCUUCUCCAAAUUUCCCCCAAUUCACAUCCGAAUUUUCCCUAAUUCAAAUCCAAUUCAAUGGAAGGUGUGAUCAACUGCUCGCUGAACACCCAUGACACUGAAAUCCCGAUCAACUGCUCACUGAACACCCAUGACACUGAAAUCCCUGUUCAAAUGGUGGAUUUGGCCAGAUUAAGAUCGACAAAUCGCCUGCAACUUGGGGGAUUCCGAUGGGAAGUUCAACUUUUAUCUACAAGCUGUAUGUCAUGCUCGCCCAAUCCAUAACAGAUCCUCGUACCAGAGAAGUCCUCUCUUGGAAGGAGGACGAUUUGUCGUUCGAAAUAAAAGAUUAUAAGGGGUUCGAUCUACUCAUGGGCGCACUGUUUUUCAGGCAUAAGAAAUGGCCAGCUAGAUUUUGCCACUACGUAAGCUUUCUGUUGUUCUUUUGAGUAAUUGAUUGCUAGAUUAGUUGUUGGGUGUGUUUUUAUGUUGAAUUCUUGGGUACAAAGCCUCUUUUAGAUUCAAUUAGAAAUUUCUGAGGCAAUGAGGCUGCAGAAAGAAGAGUAAUGGCUGUUUCAAUCAAGCCAUCUCAUUUUGCUGUGGAGUGUAUAUGUGUUGAAUGCCUUUAGAUGCAAGAAAGUCUUGAACACUUACUAAUGAACUCACCACCACCAUAUUGUAAAAGGCAGUCAUGUUUGAGCUGGGUUUUUUAAUUGGCCCAUAUCUUGUUUUCUUGAUUUCUUUGAUCAUUUUCAUGGAUUUCAGCUGUUUAAAUGAAGUUUAGGGAGAGAGUGAGAAGGGGGAGAGGGGGGGGGGAGGAGGGAGGGAGGGAAAGACUAUACAGUUGACAAAUUGGGUAGUCAUUCUUCUUCUUUUACCUUCUUGCUUGUCCUGCUUAGCAAAUGGUCAUAAUUAUUUGUAGAGAGAGAGAUAGAGAGAGAGAGAGAGAGAGAGUUGAAUUUCAAGAGGCAGAGAUAGGUUGCCUCAGAUCCAGGGAAGUCUAAGUUAAUAAGUUGGAACAAAAGUUGCUUUCUUUGAUAGGGUUGGGUUUUCCCGUGAUUCUUGGAGCUUUGCCUUUGUUGGGUUUCUUUCUCAUGACCCCCUUUUCUUUUUUCUUUUUUCUUUUUUCUUUGUUGUGUUUAGAUAAGGGGUUGGUUCUAAAUUUAAUCGGAUUUUUAUAUUUUUUUUUCUACUUAAUUGGAAAUAUAUGCAUAGAACUGAACAAAAAUUUCAAAAACUUCAGAUUUAUUCACAAGCGGAUAGAUCCAACAGUCACUCUCAUUUGGUCACUUGUCGAUUAACCUUGGUCAAGAGUUGAAACGAUGGCGAUGGUGCAAAUUCUUCAUAGUCAUCUGUCCAUGGGUGUUCGUAGCCUUGUUAAGCACAGUUCAUGGGUGGAUAUUAUCAGUAAUAUGGUGAUUUAUGUCUGUUAGUUUUCAAGUUGUAAGUAUAAAGUUCAUGGGCGUUCGCAGUCUUGUUAAGCACAGUUCACGUUGGUAAUCAUAUAAUCAGUAAUAUGGUGAUGUAUGUAUAACGAUAUUGAUUUAUAGUUUCUACUAGUCUUCAAAUUGUUCAUCUUUCUCAAUUCUUCAUUGUUCUUUGAUUUUUCUCAACGUAGUUAAUAAUUGAUUGCUAAUUUUUGUAUUUUAUUUUUUAUGCCAACUAUAGGGGAUCAAAUGCAAGUUCAAUCACCCAUCAUUGCAAAGAGGGCAGCCGAAUUGCCUUUCUCAAUUCAACAUGAUUACGGACAAAGUUGUGGGUAUAAAGUUACUUCCUAAUUUGUUAAAUUCAUAUUGAUUCUUUUGAAGGCGGCAAAAACUAAUAUGUAAUAAGAAGAGUAGUAUUUGUUUGAAAAUGAUUAGUUUACAUUUGGUACUUUUAUACAAUUGGGAAAGGAAAUCUUUGCUCUCCAAUGACAAACAAUGGAAAGCUAUCAACCACUAACAAGUACAAAACUGAUUAGCAGAAUGUUUAACAACUAAUACAACUUGCUCCUAUUGCUUAGCUAACUUUUUAAUAUGUUAAAUCUGAUUCUUUUGCAGCCAGCAAGGGUGAGGGAGAGGGAUCCGCCAACUGAGAAGCGGAGGUGGACUAUCUAGGUACGAAAAUGGGAAAAAGCCACAUCCUUCUUCUGUGGGAGGAGUGUGCAAUUGGUGCUCUUGGCACAACUGUCUAUAAACUUUUUUGUUUGUUAAUAGUUUGAGUUUCUUUGUCUAUUUUACAAUGAUAGAAUAGAAAUAUGUAGCUGGAUGGGUAUGGCCCUUUGUUUUCGAUGGCAGUGGGUAAAUUUUUUUGACUUUCUUUAACAGUUAGAAUAAAAUUCAAGAUUAACCAACUCAACAAAUUGGCCCAACGACCAUUUUUCUCUUUCCCUCCUUUCUUUUCCACUCUCUCCCCCCCCCCUCCUCUCUUCCCCUCUUUCUUUCUCUCUCCCCUCUCUCUUCCUCCUUUCGUCCACUUCUCUUCUCUCUCUCAUCUUUCAUCUUCCACUUGGCCCCACCCCUUUCGCUCUCUUCUCUCCUUAUGCCCAUUUUCUCUCUUUAUAAAUAUAUAUAGGAUAAAUCUCAGUUUACUACCUUUAAAUUUUGUGGUUUUCAACAUUUGAUACAUGAAUUUUUUUUUGUCCCAGAGUCAUACUUGAAGUAUUAAUUUUAGGACAGUCUCAUACAUCAUUUAGUCUGGCUAUUAAGUAUCUCGUUAACUGAUGACGUGACGCCCAUGUGGAUAAUGACUGGGCACCACGUGUUUUUAAGGAGUCCACGUGGAAAUUAAAAAUUCAAAAAAAAAAAAUCCCCUUUACUGUCUCUCAACCUCUCCCUCUCUCCCAACUCUCUCGUCCAUCUCCUUUCUAAAAAGUAGAAAAUCGAUGACGGCAAAGCCACACUACCACCACCGUAGCCAGUAAUCAAUACACAAAAUCAUAAAUUUCUCAGUUAAUCCUCUGUUUGGCUAGCCAAAAAUACAGAGCCCCAACUUUGUUUUCCUCAAGAAACCAAAUAGCCUUAAAUCACUCGCAUUUGAGUUCAAAAUUCAUAUCUCGGCUUCUUGGAGACAGACAUUUCGAAACCCUAGAUGGUGAUCACAAAUCUCAAGUUCUGGACUGGCAACCAAACGACGCCGUUGAUGUUGAUGAAGCAUCGAUUUCAGACUCAGAGCCUAAAACUACGGCGUGGCCUGAAGAGACUCUUAAGAAACCAAAGGAAAGAUUGAAGGGCAAAUUAACUAGGUUUGAGUAAUAGACAAUUGGGUGAAUGAUUUUCUUCAAUUGCUUAACUAUUCCUCAUACAAAGAUUAUAUACAACACUUUACAAUUAAUACAUAUCUACAAUUUAUGGCAUGCAAGCCGUGAUCCCCAAUUCGUGGGAUUGACCUAGGCUAGGAAAGGCAUGUAACUUUUCCCUGAUCUGUGGGAUUUCACCUAGGCUAGAAAUUCAUAAUACAAUUAUAAUAAUAUUUCCUUAAUAGAGACACCGAUGCUCUCAUCAACAUCGUCUACAAGAAGGCCAUUUCGACAAUGAUCAGUGAAAAUCUCGACAAAUGCAAUGAAAUCAGAAGCUGAAAUGAUGUCGUGGCCGUGUUGGCGACCAAAUGACCACGGAGAGGACGAGAUCGCAUCGAAGAAAAUGGCGUUUAGGGUUUUAGACAGAGAGAGUGGAGGUGAAGAUUGUGGAGUUUUAGAGAGAGAAAUAGAGAAAAGAGAGAGGAGAGAUAGAUAGAUAGAGAGGAGAAAGGUCUCUGCAAAUUCAACCCUUGCAGAUUAUGAAACCGAGUCCUUGAGCACAAAAGUUAACACUUUUAACUAACUGAUCUACAAGCCACUUGCACAUUAUGAAACCUUUGAAAUGAAUUUUUCAUAUUUAAGAUCUCUAAUUUCUAUAUGUAAUCAACAUAUGAAAACAACAAAUUGCUACUACUAACGGGCACAUAGUAAUUCAACUAUGUUUUUGUUUCUCAAGCUCUCAUAAGAAGUUGCGGUUCAUUCUAAAUAUAUAAAAUCAUAAGGGAAAAAUUAUUCAAAAGUGUAGGAUAAUAUUUUUGGAUUGUCAAUAACAACACUUUGUUCAAUAAAAAGAUAAUGACUACACUUUAUUACUUAAACAUGAAAAAUUGUCAAUAGAUAAAAAAAAAAAUCCGAAUUUAUAUUUAGACAAACUUGAACGUGAUUUUGCAAGUAAAUUCAAACUGAAAACAAAAAACCACUACUGAAAAUGCCACAUUUAACAACCUAAUUAACGUUCGUUUGUUAUUUAAAAGUAGACAAAAAAAAAAAAACACAACGAAAAAAGGGGGAAACUAUCCACUACUUUAUGUUGAGAGAGGGAAUUGAACUUGGGUGGGCACGGAACCAAAAACCACAAGAAACCACUCUGCCAUCUAAAGCAUGGUGAUACUAACAAUGAGCGUUUACUAUAUGAAAUACAACAAUCUCAUACACAUAUAAAACAACUUAAUUUUUUUGGGUCCCCAAGCAAUCACCCUGAUGGCACUGGGCCGAGGCCGGGGCUGCGGAAAGGGAGGGGAGGGGGAUUGGGAACUAUACAGGUAAGCUUUUUCAAUUUUUCUUUUUAAGUUUUUUUUAUUAUAUUAAAAUUUUGUCAUUUUCAUUAAAUUUCAAUUUUUUGUCAUUAAAUAAAAUUAUUAGGUAGUUUUUUGUUUAAAAAAAGUUUGUGGAAGCUCUUUUCAUUAAAACUCUCUAAAUAUAUUGGCUCUUGAUGUCAACUUAAUAGAAUAUAAAUACAAAAUGAAUUAACUUAUUUUGCUGUGAUUCACCUAUCUCUUGGUUUUUCAAUUAUUUGGUGAUGACUAUGUUGAUUUGUGAUUUUGUGGGAAUUGCUCAAGUAAAAUGUGUGUUGUCUAAAUUGUUGCAUUUGAAAAUGCGAUUGUGUUGCUGUUAACUUUAGAGGGAAAAUUUCUAUGAAUAUUAUUCAUGGUGGUUGUUCAUUAUAGUUUGAAAUCUUGCAGAAGAGUGCGUGAAAUUUUUCUAGUGAAAACUCUAUAAUUAAAAUAGGAAAAAUUAGUAUCCGGUCCUUAGUUUUUACUGUUCAUUGACUAAGACCUUAUUAGUUCUCAAAUUUUGAUUCAAGUCCCUAGCAUUAAUGUGAUAAUGAAUUUACUUGUUUAUUAUUUUUUAAUAUAAAAAUUAGUAAUUAAUUUAGGGUUUAAUACUCACACCUCUAUUAAACUUCUAAUUAAUUUUCAAUUCAAACAUUUCCAAAAUAAUAAAAAAAAUUAAAUUAAGUUUGUACCUAUUAGUUUUUUUUAUAUAUAAAAAGAUUCUCAAUUUUUUAAUCUUAAAUGUACCCAUUCAUAUAAUUUUUCAAUUUUUUUAAUCUUAAAUGUACCCAUUCUCAAAUAUAUCAAUUUGUUAUAUGUAAAAUGUACCCUUUUUUUAAUAUAAAAAUCCAUUCAAAUUUUUUAAUCCAUGUUUAAACUUAUACGGGUACAUUCUUUUUCGUUGAUUUGAGAAUGUAUCCAUGUUUUGGUACAAUAACUUUUUUUGUUAAUUUUGGUUAAUGUACCCAUACAUAUAUGUGUAUAUACACACACACACACACACACACAAUAUAAUAGAAAGUAUAAUUUAUAUUUUAUUAUUUUUAAUCCCAUGAAUUAUGGGUUUUGUUUAAAAUCUCAUUAAUAUAAACAAUUACAAAUUUCAAUUUUUAAUUUUUAAUUUUUAAUUAAAAAAAUAUAGUAACUUACAUUAUUACAUUAAUGUCAGGGACCUCAAUCAAAAACUAAAAACUAACAAGGUUUCAAUCAAAGAUUAUUGAUAGCUAGGGACCGCAUCCAAAGUGUCCCAUUAAAAUAAUUCUACUUCCUAUUCCUUACCCCCCCCCCAACCUUAUCAAAACAUUUUUUUAGGAACCAAAAAUACAAUUCAACUUUCCUUUUCUUUUGUUGUGAGUCAUGACUUGCGCGAUGCUUACCUUUGUAUUCAUAAUCCAAACGAAUUUGAAAGCACUAAUUUGUGAGUCGUUGAGCCAAUUAAAAUUUUCCACGUGUUUAUUGCCUUUUUUCCAUUAAUACUAGUAUAUGCCCACACACAGAAUGUAUGUGAAAUUUUUUUUAGUUUUGUUUUUAAAAUUGAAGGGGAGAGAGAGAGGGAGGGAGAGAGAACGUAUGCCCACACAGAGUGUGUGAAAUUUUAUUAAUUUUAUUUUGAAAGUGAAGGAGAGAGGAAGAGAGAGAGAGAGAGAGAAUGUAAGUCCACAUACAAAUGUGUGAAUUUUUUUAGUUUAGUUUUUUAAAUUGGAGAGAGGAAGAGAGAGAGGAAGAGAGAGAGAAAGUAUGCCCACACACAAAGUAUGAAAUUUUAGUAGUUUUGUUUUUAAAAUUGAAUGAGAGAGAGAGAAUGUAUGCCAUACACAAUAUGUGUGAAAAUUUUUAGUUUUGUUUUUAAAAUUGAAGGAGAGAGAGUGUGUGAAAUUUUUUAGUUUUGUUUUUAAAAUUGAAGGAGAGAGGAAGAGAGAAUUUUUUUAAUGAAUGAAUCGUAUGGGCUGGAUUGAUACGUCUGCCUUACCAAUUCGGCGGGUGCUCGGGAUUUUCUCAUUCGAAUAGAAAAGGGGUUUCAAAGGAAGAGAGAGAACUAUGCCCACACACAAAAUGUGUGUGUGUAAAAUGAUUUAGUUUAGUUUUUAAAAUUGAAGGAGAGAAAUAGAAAGAGAAAGAAUGGUAUGCCCACACACACUGUAUGUGAAACUUUUUAGUUUUGUUUUUAAAAUAUGACAUGCAGCAGGCCCUGGCAAUGACACACACAUACUCUUUUUAAGGACGUGAUUCUAGGGGUGGUUCGGUAUGGGAUCCCAUACCGAAACCCUUGUCCCAAUUCCCAAACCGAAAUUUUCGGGAAUCCCAAUUUCAAUACCGAUCCCAAACCAAAUUUUCGGGAAUCCCAAUUUUUGGGAAUCCCGAAAUAGUUUCGGGAUUUCGGGACAAAUCGGGAAUCCCGAAAUGGUUUUGAGCUUUUGGACUAAAAUUUGACAUAUUAUGCUUUUGAGCUCAAUUUGGCAAUUUGUUUCUACUAAUCUGCCAAUCAAAUGGCAAAGCAUGUUUGUACUAAUUUGUGCACAAAUUUGAGUCCGUGUACACCAGUAAGUAAAAAUGGAUAUAAUAAUGGAUGGAAGGAAAAAGAAAGUCUGUGUACACCAGUAAGUACAAUUGUAGCAUAAAAAAAUAAUACGCCAGCUUAAAUUUCUAUAUAGCACAUGAAUCUUUCAUCUCAAUGCAUAUGUGAACCAUCCAGAUGAAGAAAUAUUAAGGAGUGGCAAGGUAUCAAAUAAUCAAAUAAUCAAAUAAUCAAAUUUAUAUUCAAUGGUUGAGAUUAAAUCUCAACAGAAUCCGACAGCUAUUAAAAAUCUAAAUAUAUAUUUAAAAAUUAAACAAUAUAUAUAUAUAUAUAUUUUUUUGGUUUGGUUUGGGAAUACCGAAAUCCCAAAAACUUGAGACCGAUUCCCGUACCGAAAUUUCGGGAUCGGUUCGGUAUUGGGUACCAAAAUUUUUGGGAAUUUCGGUUUGGUUUCGGGAAUUUUUUGGUUCUGUUUGGGAUUUUUGGGAUUUUGUUCCAGCCCUACGUGAUUCCGUGGGAGUGCACAAAUUUCUCCAAAUUCUCGAACACCAUUUCCCCCAAAUUCACAUCCAAAACCCCAUAUUGCCAAGUUCAUCGGAUGAAGCAAAAUCGAAAAGGAGUUAGUCAAGACAUCAUGGUGGUCGAUGAAGAAAAUCCAUGGGGAAUUCCGGCGGAUACUCCGGCAUUUGUCGGUAGGUUGUACUCCGCUCUAAUGGAGUCAACCAUCGAUGCCAAUGUGAGGGCAAUCAUCUCUUGGGAAGAUGAAUCUAGCUUCGUGAUUCAUGAUUUUGAGGCCUUCAGUACUUUAAUGGACAAGUAUUUCACGAAUGAAAGAUGGAUGACCCAGUUCACUUGCCUUGUAAGUAACCCUUCCGAAUAAUAGUGUUAUUUUUUAUUUUUGAUAUUUUGAAUUAUUAAUUUAUGUAGGUUUUAAUUUCGAUGAUUAUAUAUACACAUCAAUAGUUGCUCAUUAAUUACAGGGCAUUCGUUCUGAAUUCGUGAACCGGCAUUUGCAAAAGGGGCAUCUUGAUUUGCUCAAGCAACUCAAGUAUUCGAGGCGAAUUGAAAUUCCCCAAGCCCAACAAGAAAAUGAACCGGCUAGCUCGAGUGAAAACUAAAAGACCCGCGGCGUCGGUUUGUUUAAGAAACUUGAUAUUUUGCAGUGUUAUGCGUCGAAAACCGACAGUAUCCAUAACUGACUAAGAAAAUGAGCUCAUAUUUUGCAGUGUUAUGCGUUUAUAUUUUUUUUACAACAAAAAAAAUGGGCUCAUGUUUUUGAAAUUGAGAUCCAAAUAGCUCAUAGCUCUUGUUGAAACUGACUAAGAACAAGCUCACAGAAAAGCAUUUUUGACUGUCUUUAGCACUCCAUACAUACAAACUCGGAAUAAACGAUAUGCAACCAACCAUGGAACAUAUUCUUAAACUAACAACUUAGAAAACUUCACAAUCAAUCAAUCAAUCAAGUUUUAUUAUUCAGAUGUUAUGCGUUCAUAUUUUGCAGUGUUGCAGUGAUUCUUCUGUUGAGAUUUGAGCAAGGUAGAGAUGUGAUGGUGGAGGUUGUUGGUGACUGAUUCGAUCUUGUCUUCCGUGGGAAGAGUAUGCAAUUGGUGCUCUUGGACGACUUACUUUUAUGUUUAUUAAUAAUUUCAAUUUGAUUGUGUGGAUCCUAGUGUUAGUCCUUUGGAUAUUCUAACCAGUAGAGUUUUCUUAGCAUGUCACUGCUAUUACCUUGUUGGUAAUCUUUUACAGUGCACUUGCUAUUAGCCUAUUACAAUGUUAAUUUCCCUAUAUGUUCGGAUAGUUAUGAAUCUUAACUUAAUUUCACUAUAUUAUUGAAAAUAUUUAGAUAUCGAAAUCUUGAGAUUUGUAUGUGGUUCAAUAUCUUAGCAGAUGCGGUAUUGGGUUUUUACUUGUACAUCCUAGAUUCAAGACAUCCCCUCCCCUUUACUAUAGUAUAAGGGCAUAUUUACUUGACAAAAGAUGGAAAAAAAAAAGGAAGGAAUCGAAGUAGGAGAAUUGAGGAAAAGAAAUUAGAUCAUCUAGUCCCCUAUUUAGUAAACGCAUGGAACUCUGGAAUUAAAAUAAUUCUACUUCUUAUUCCUUACUAAUUUGCCACGUGUUUCUUGCCUUUAUUUUACUAAUGUAUGUUGAAAAAAUUGUUUCAAGUCAUACAAAAAUCAGAAAACAAUCCGAGAGUUGCUACGGAUUAUUAAUGCAAGUUGCGACUAGUUAGAAUUUCAACCUCAUAAAAACUGUACAUACACUUGCAUGCCGGCCUAAAGACGUGCAUUCAAAAUUUGUCAUGGCAACCAAUGAGUUUGCUAGAUCAUGGUUGGUCAUGGCAAGAAAGAUUUCGUGCUUAUCUUAAAAGACUAGUGAGGCUUUAAGGCCUAGGAAGAUAGAAUAGCUUCAAAUGUUUCAAUCAAUCUCAUGCAUUUCAGCAAUCACAAUUAUGAGAGAAUUGUGUGGGUGACUUAAAUGUCAUUAAGAUAUAAUGGUAUUUACUUAACAACGGGUAGAAUUCCUAAAGAUGACAAUAUCUAAUUCUAAGAAGAAUUUGCUUCUAUGAGUAUGAGAUGACUAAAUUCUCUAAAGCUCUUAUGAAUCUGAGAUUUGUUCAGGAUAAAAAUCAAUACAACCCUAUAAACCGUUAUAUAUUAGGAUUAGUGAUGUGUGUUUCUUAUUGUCUCAGUUUACUGUUACGGUGAGCAUUUCAAGAUCUUCCACAUCCAUUGCAUCACCAAGUAAAUUCGACAAGUAUUCACUAGUGUAAGUUCAAAUCUAAAAGACACUUCUCUUGAUACAUUUCUUGUCUGCAUGUACUCUCAAAUUCUUCUAAUUUUUUAUUUAUGUGUGGGAUUGUCGGAAAUUAUAUACUAUAAUAUAAAUAUUGUAAUAUAUAAUUUUUAUAAUUAAAUAAAAAUUAAUGUUAAUCGCUUUCAAAGAAAGAUUAUGUCAUUUGUAUUUAAUUGGUGCCAUCCCUUGCUAAAAAAAUAAUGUUAAUCUUCUACAUCUUGCCCAUGCAAAUGACCGUCUUUCGUUGAUUUCUUCGUCUUCUCCGUGCCGCACCGAUAUAAUAAAAAUUUAAUUUUUCUUGUCUUCUUUUUGGAUAGUGCUGUCGCGGGGAAGCCGUCGGGGUGAUGCAGCAUGUCGGCUGGCAGGGGUCAGGAGUCGGCUCGGCAUGGGCUGAUGAGGUGUUGUGGCAGGGACCACUACUUUAGGCUGCUCAACUUGGCUAGAGCCAUGGGCAACUUGUGAGGUUGGGACCACCGAUUGAAGCGCUGAAAUGUAGUGCUAGGUGAGCCGCAUAACUCAUGUCCUUUGGGCUCUUGGACUUGACGUGGGCCAGGCUGACGAUUGAGAGAAAUGAAGAGGUUGCGGGCCUUAUGAGCUGUUAGAAUGUUGGGCAUGCAAGCCUCCUGCCUGCUGGAAUGUUAGGUUGAGCUCCCCUGCUGAGUACCGUAAAUGGCGUUGGUUGCUUAGCUCUUUUUACCGAGAGAAAAGUGGACUGCUCCCGAGAGAUGAUGUAAAGAUGAUCAAGGCGGAUGCAUUGGCUCUUUUGAUCGCUGUUGUGGAGCCUACUAUGAAUGAAGGUGGAAAGAAGAGAUCUUCCCCGCCUGCUCAAGAAAUGUCGAUUGAGAAAAAACUGAGGACUUCCUCUGCUGCUCAUAAGGGUUUGCUCGCUGCCGAAAUGCCUGUGAUUGACAUAACUUCUUCUAAUGGGAAGAAAAAAUGAGGCUGCUAGAUCUGAGCUCGUGGCGCCUGCCAUGUCGAGAAUGGCUGAUUGAUGAUAGGAUUGCUCAGCGUAAAGGUCAUGUCAUGCCUCAAGUGCCAAAGUCUAUACCAAGAUGUCUGUUGGGAGCUAAGUCCGGUUCACCUUUGGAGAGGCUUGCCACUAUGAAUAGCGAUAAGGUAGACUCUGCUGCUAAAGUGGCGCCAAGGCCCACUCCAUUUGUUGCUGAAACUGAUUCGCCUGCUAGGAAGGAGGAGACUGCUUGCAUGGGUAGCUGUGAGCCUAUGAGAAAUCCACUAAGCCUGUUUUUGGGGAGGUUGCUGAGAUUUAUGUGCUUUUGAAACUAGAUCUGCUUGAAGACAUGGACACUUAUGCCAAGUUUGUUGAUGGUGGUAGAAAGGUUGUUUGCCCAAGUUCCUUUGCGAAACAUACGACCCAAUAUAGAAGGACUGCUCUACUUGCUAUGAUGCAUAUAUAGUAAGCCUGCCAAGGAGGUGGCGAAGAUUAUGGCAGCUGAAGCUUAUUCCUCAGUCAAGGAGAUCAAGAGGUUAGAUUCUGAGCUUGUUGCUUUGAAAGGGUCUAAAAUUUCUGCCCCCACUUCUCUACAGCUUAAGACCGCUUGCCACAAGAUCGUUGACUUGAAGACUAGGCUUGAUGAGAUCCAAGUUAAGUAUGAAAGUACGGAGAAUGAGAUUGGAUGUUACAUACCUCAUAUUUAAGAUUAGUAUUAUAUAUUAGGAUUAGUGAUGUGUGUUGCUUAUUGUCUCAGUUUACUGUUGCGGUGAGCAUUUCAAGAUCUUCCACAUCCAUUGCGUCACUAAGUAAAUUCGACAAGUAUUCAAUAGUGUAAGUUCAAAUCUAAAAGACACUUCUCUUGAUACAUUUCUUGUCUACAUGUACUCUCAAAUUCUUCUAAUUUUUUAUUUAUGUGUAGGAUUGUCGGAAAUUAUAUACUAUAAUAUAAAUAUUGUAAUAUAUAAUUUUUAUAAUUAAAUAAAAAAUAAUGUUAAUCGCUUUCAUAGAAAGAUUAUGUCAUUUGUAUUUAAUUGGUGCCAUCCCUUGAUAAAAAAAAAUAAUGUUAAUCUUCUACAUCUUGCCCAUGCAAAGGACCGUCUUUCGUUGAUUUCUUCGUUUUCUCCGUGCCGUACCUAUAUAAGAAAAUUUUAAUUUUUCUUGUCUUUUUCUUGGAUAGUGCUGUCACGGGGAAGCCGUCGGGGUAAUGCAGCACGUCGGCUGGCAGGGGUCAGGAGUCGGCUCGGCAUGGGCCGAGAAGGUGUUGUGGCAGGGACCAUUACUUUAAGCUGCUCAACUUGGCUAGAGCCAUGGGCAGCUUGUGUGGUUAGGACCGCAGAUUGAAGCGCUGAAAUGUAGUGCUAGGUGAGCCGCAUAACUCAUGUCCUUUGGGCUCUUGGACUUGACGUGGGCCAGGCCGACAAUUGAGAGAAAUGAAGAGGUUGCGGGCCUUAUGAGCUGUUAGAAUGUUGGGCAUGCAGGCCUCCUGCCUGCUGGAAUGUUAGGUUGAACUCCUCUGCUGAGUACCAUUAAUGGCGUUGGCUGCUUAGCUCUUUUUACCGGGAGAAAUGUGGACUACUCCCGAAAGAUGAGGUAAAGAUGAUCAAGGCGGAUGCAUUGGCUCUUCUGAUCGCUGUCGUGGAGCCUACUAUGAAUGAAGGUGGAAAGAAGAGAUCUUCCCCGCCUGCUCAAGAAAUGUCGAUUGAGAAAAAACUGAGGACUUUCCUCCGCUGCUCAUGAGGGUCUGCUAGCUGCCGAGAUGCCUGUGAUUGACAUAACUUCUUCUAAUGGGAAGAAAAAAUGAGGCUGCUAGAUCUGAGCCCGUGGCGCCUGCCAUGUUGAGAAUGGCUAGAAUGAUUGCUGAUAGGAUUGCUCAGCGUAAAAGUCAUGUCAUGCCUCUAGUGCCGAAGUCUAUACCAAGAUGUCUGUUGGGAGCUAAGUCCGGUUCACAUUUGAAGAGGCUUGCCACUAUGAAUAGCGAUAACGUGGACUCUGCUGCUAAAGUGGCGCUAAGGCCCACUCUCUUUGUUGCUGAAACUGAUUCGUCUGCUAGGAAUGAGGAGACUGCUUGCAUGGGCAGCUGUGAGCCUAUGAGAAAUCCACUAAGCCUGCUUUUGGGGAGGUUGCUGAGAUCUAUGUGCUUUUGAAACUAGAUCUGCUUGAAGACAUGGACACUUAUGCCAAGUUUGUUGAUGGCGGUAGAAAGGUUGUUUGCCCAAGUUCCUUUGCGAAGCAUACGACCCAAUAUAGAAGGACUGCUCUGCUUGCUAUGAUGCAUAUAUAGUAAGCCUGCCAAGGAGGUGGCGAAGACUAUGGCAGCUAAAGCUUAUUCCUCAGCCAAGGAGAUCAAGAGGUUGGAUUCUGAGCUUGUUGCUUUGAAAGGGUCUAAAAUUUCUGCCCUCACUUCUCUAUAGCUUAAGACCGCUUGCCACAAGAUCGUUGACUUGAAGACUAGGCUUGAUGAGAUCCAAGUUAAGUAUGAAAGUACAGAGAAGGAGAUUGGAUGUUACAUACCUCAUAUUUAAGAUCUUAAGUUUGUAGUUUCUGAGCUUCGUUUCACUGCUUAUGCAAAGGAUGAAGAGUUGAUUGCUGCUUAUAAUCAAGUGAUCCACUUCAAGAGAAUCAUCAAUAAGCUUGAACCCCAAGUGUUGGAACUUCAAGGUGUAUUGAAGAUCAACGAAAGUUUGAAGAAGGAAGUGGAUGAGCUACAACGCGUCCGUGUUGGUCUGCUUGAGAAGAAUGAGCAGCUGAAGGGUGAGAAGGAUAGGCUUGAGGUUUCGAGACCUUCUCUAUUUCUUCGGAAGACUUGCUUGCUUUUACUUUUGAUACUUUCAUUGGUGAAGUAGUUGGAGAAGUUAAUGCCCAGGCUAGGGUAGCCGGGGAUGAAGCGCUGGAUGAUGCCGCUGCUAAGAGCGUCGAGGCUGCUGAAGGUGUGGUGACCGAGUAGUCGUGGGAUGUCCAAGCUGCUGUAGUCUUCUAGGUAGCCUUUAGGAUUUUAUUUGUUUUUCCUUGUAGCUCUUAUUUUGCUUGAACUUCUUCGGCCUUUGCUAAUUGUUUAUAAGCAUGCUUCUUUCUCUUUUCUUCAUCUUCGCUUCUUUUGUUCAUGCCCUAAUCUUUAGACUUGACAGACCAGUAGCAGGCAUGCUACUUUUUAUAAGCAAACAAGCUCGCGUAGCUUAUGCAGCCGUAGGUGUUGGUGUAGAACUUUGCAAAGUUAUUAGCCAUAGAGUUGGCAGCCGGAUGCCUUACUUACAGAAGCAGACAAGUUCGCGCAACCACUAGGUUGUUAACCUUGGCUUUUUCCAAUUCUGUAGGUUGCGUAGUAAGUAACACAACACUUUAGGACUUUGUGUAGGUUGUUCCAUGCUUGGCAAAUGUGAAGCUUAUCGACUACGUAACAUGUUGGCAGUGGAUAAAGCUUCGUAUAUGCACGCUAGCUUGUUUAGCCUUUCACAAGAAUGUGUGGUUGUAUAAGUCUAGCGUGGCUUUACUGCUCGAAGGGCAACCCGUAGGCAAUCUUUCAGAAACCGUAGGCUACUUUAGUGCACUCAGUAGCAGCUUUAGAGUUCCAAAACAGUUGUUUGUAAGGCGUAUUGUGUAAUGUGCCCCCUUCGUCUCUAAGGCCCGGUUCCCCACGGAUUAGGCCAAGAGACCCAAAAUCCUUUAGUUAGCUAAGCCUUGAAAAAGACCAUUGUGGCUACUUUUAGGAAUCCCGGCGUAAGCCAUCAUGCAUUUAGUUAUACUAGGGUAGCCGUGCUCAUCCACGUCUGGAUAUUCAGAGUGUAAAGUUUAUCCUCCUGUCUUGGAAAGCUAACCCAUAUGGGUGUCGGGGAAUUGGUUUAUCCUCUCGCACUAGAGAACAAGUUUACCCUCUCACACUCGAGAGCAUGGUUGGUCCUUCAGAGGCGCAAUUCCUGCGAUGAGUCCCUAAGAAGGGCGCAAUCUUCUUUUGAAGUGCAUGAGUGAUCAGUUGUUGUAAGCAUGCAUCUAAGCCAAUUUGUGAUUACUUCUGAAUUCCUCAUUGAAAAAUGAGUGAAACGAACAAGAACUUAGCUGUAAGGUAGGAAAUGCAUAACAACUGGAUAGUCAUCGGCUUGUGAGGUGGUGCCAGUCGAGCUUCUUGAGUCUUUGGGCUUUAAUGUAGUGGGAGGUCACAUAUGAUACUUCUUCAGAUUAUAGGCACUCCACUGCUUUUUGAUCUUUUUAUCGUUUCAUGGUGACGAGGGUGUAAUUACUCUUGCCACCUACUCUGCUGAUCUUGUACGGACUUUCCCAGAUGAGGUCCAUCUUUUUUGGAGCCUUCUCUGCGGGCAGUGAUGAAGGCUUUUCUUAGGACUAGAUCUUCUGGCUGGAACUGCCAAAUCUUGGCCCUUUUGUUGUAGCUGGAGAUGAACUGCUGCUGGUAGGUUGCAAUGUGGGUGAUAGUCUGCUCGCACUUCUCUUCUGCCAGAUUUAAACUUGUGGCCAUCUCUUUUUUGCUCAAUGCUUGGUAGUAAAGUGGUGAUACUUGACUUGAUGACAUUGAGAUGAAUGAUUGCUUCUAAGCCAAAUGCCAAAGAGAAAGGAGUCUCACCGGUUGCUCGUCUUUUGGUGGUGGGAUAUGCCCAUAUACAUCUAGGAAGUUCGUCUGGCCAUUUUCUUUUCUUACUGGUAGGGGAUUUCUUGUGACGUCAAAGAUCAUCUUGGUGGAUGCUUUGGCCCGCCUAUUGCCUUGAGGAUAUCUUAGCGUAGACAUGUGCUGCUUGAUGCCAUAUUUUUGGAAGAACUUCGCCAAAUCUUUGCCCAUGAAUUACGGGCCAUUGUCGGUGACGAUGGAUUAAGGGAUGCCAAAUCGGCAAAUGAUGUUCCUCCAUAUGAAGCGUUCUAUGUCCGUCUGAAUCGUGAUCGUCAUGAGCUCUGCUUCUACCUAUUUGGUGAAGUAGUCGGUUGCCAUGAUUAUCAUGCCUUUGCCCCUAGUAGUCUGGCUGGUGAUUAGCUGGGAAUCGGAAUGAAUUGAAAGCUUUUUCACCGCCAAGUCUUUUGUUAUUCGAAGACCUACUAAUGAGGAUUCGUACUCUGCUUCAUUGUUGGAUGCUUUGCAACCUAGAAUGAUUGCCUGCACGGGCAUCGAACUGCCUGGGGUGACAAGGACCACGUCUGCUCCUGAACCUUUGUAGUUGGAUGCGUCGUCGACAUGCAAAUGCUAGAAGUCUCUAUCGGCUAGAGUGUGCUCGGCUACUUCUGGGGCAUCGUUGGGCCGCUCUAUUGCGUCACCUAGGCUCGGCGUGAAGGUGUAGUAGGGAGCUGUGGAGAUGGGGCCAUGUGACACGCAGCAGGAAAUGCUCAACUGCCAGUAUUGGGCCACUCUGGAGUUGAAUUAUUGAGCAAGGGUUGGCUAGGGCCGUGUGGUGCGCAGCAAGAGAUGGUACUCAACUGCUGGUACAUGUUGCUCCUAUAUAGAAUCUUUUAGGGUGAUGAGGACAAAACUUGCUUCCGAGUGUGUCCUUCCAGUAUUCAUCUACCCUUGUCGUGUCUUUUUAACUGAGUUGUUGCGUUGGUCAGAAAACUUUACAUCUGCCAGGGUCUACGCCUUUAUCGUCGCGCGUCUGGAUUGGACGGAAUAGUACGUUAUGAAGAUGAUUGUAUGUGUUUGAAAGUAAAACUUGAGCUUCCGGGUUGUAACAACUAUCGCCAAAGUUAGUUUUUGAAUUUCUGAAAAUAUCAAUGAGAGUUUUUAAAAUGUGGAAUACAGCUGAUAGCAUCGAGGAAAGCUUUUAAACUAUGGAAUAUAGUCGGCCCCCCAGCUCUUCUUAUAUGAUGGUAGAGCUUAUUGUCGUCCAGUCAGACUUUGAAUCUCCUUCAAAGUGGUGGGAGACUUCAUAUUCAAGAUCGCUCGGAUUUGCCUUGAAUGGGCAUCGGCGAACUUUGUCCCAAAGUACAUGCUUUUAUGCAAAGCAAAAGAGUCUGCCAGAGUUAGAUCUUCUUUCAUUAUCAGUUUUCAGAAAAGUGGGUGGUCUACUGGAAGUCCUUUUUGGAAGGCUGCUCUAGUUAUCGAGUCGUUGCAUCCGACUAUCUUUGCAUUCUCUGCUUUGAACCUCUUCAUAUAGUCACGAAGCGACUCUUUUAGUUUCUUCUUGACGUUGAACAAGUGGUCGGACUUCUUCUUGAUCGAGCGAUAUGAUGAAUAUUCUUUGGUGAAAACCAAAGAUAGUUUGUCAAAACUCCGAAUGGAUUAUGGCGGUAAGGUAUAGAACCAAUCUUGCGCCUCGCCUUGUAGAGUGGUGGCGAAUAUCUUGCACAUGAGAUCAUCGUUGUUUUGAUAGAGGAUCAUUGCGCUUCAGUAGUGCUUUAAGUGUCUCUCCGGGUCUUCAUCCCCUUUGAACGAUGUGAAAUGUGGUAUACUGAACUCACGUGGAGGCUCUGCCUGCUCGAUCUCGUCCGUGAAUGGUGACUUGCUUAUGUUGAUCAUGUUCCAUCGUAGUGCCUCGCAAUCGCUUGGUCAAAGGUCUCUCUACUUCUUCCUGAAUUUACCUUUGUUGAGGUAGUGGAGCUCUCGGCUUCCUCCAAUCGUGACUUGUUGGUCUAAGCUGCUCUUCCAUGUGUUUGGCUCGUCUAUGCCGCUGAUACGGUACGUGUAGUGCAUUCAUAGCUGGCGAGCGAGUUUUUCGCAAGCUUCCGGUUAAACUUGAGCCAGAUUGAGUAACUGAUUCUCUCCGUCCGUCGUGCUGCCUACUCCGAUGUGAGGUGGAUGAUGUUCCUUGCGGGCUUAGCCGCUAAUGAAUACUUCGCCUGGAAGGUUGCUCAUGUUGACUAUUGGAGUGUGACCCCAACUGUGAAUGUAUGCUCGUCUGUGGGCCUAAUCGAGAGUGCACCCUUCUCCGCGCUCUAAGACGGGAGUAUACACUAUCUCGGGGGCCCAAUCGAGAGUGUACACUGCCUAAACGCUUGGUUCGUGGCUGGUCGAGUGGCUGCUUACCAGGACGCUGCUGGAGAGGUUAUUUGUCUGCCUUUGUCCUACUUCAAGACACCUCGUCUGGGGCACGCUGCAUCUCGGUGCGCUGCAAGAGUUGGUUCACCAAGGUCAUUUGUUGUGCGAGGGAACUCGUCAACUCUAUGACUUGUCGAGACAAGUGUUGUUAUCCAUUUGGGUUGGAAUAGAUUGGAAUGAAUGCGUUUUCUUGAGCAGUGGAAGUGUGGGGCGAGAUUUGAGUUGGGAAAUGCCAAAUCCGCAGAAAAAUAUGGUGAAAAUGCUCCUGGUUCGAUCGUCAGUCUGGAAAUUUGGAGCUGGGAUAAUUGAACUAAUCUUGGAUUGAUUUAGGCUACUUAGAAGGCCAUAGGAGCAGACUGGGCUGCAGAAGCAGGUUGGACCACGGAAACAGGCUGUGUCACGAGAGUGAACUGCUUGACAUGAGCAGGCUGGGCCACGAGAGUAGGCUGCUCGGUGAGAGCAGGCUGGGCCGUGAGAGUGGGAGCAGGCUGGGCCGUGAGAGUGGGUUGCUCGGCGGGAGCAGGUUAGGCCACGAGAGUAGGCUACUCGGCGGGAGUAGGCUGCUUGGAAUGUGAUGCACAUGGGUGCAAGGCUUGGGCUCGGCUUGGCAACUCGUUGAGUUCGCGUUGGGCUUGGAAUGACAUGGCUUGGGCAGUGGCCUUGGUGUCGUGAGCCUUGGAUGACAUGGCUCGGGUCGUGGUAGCGAUGCCAUGGACCUCGCCGCGGGUAGUGGUGACCAUGGUGGCCACCGCGGUGGUUGCCAUGGUGGAGCCCCGUAGCAAUGGUGCCGCUCCUAUGAUCACAUUUAGCCUCGUGGAUCACUGUGGUCCCAUUUCUUGAAUAUUGAAAUUUUCACUUGUGGAAUUUUCUAAAUUUCUUGCCAUUGUAUAUCUCUUUUACGUUUUAUCAAAGAAUCUUUGCAAAUAAAAAAUUCUAAUAAUAAGAACGUACGAAAAAUCUACAAAUGGACAAGAAAAUAGAAAAACCUUUUGAUGCGGGAGUCUUCUACGAGUGUGUGACGAUUCUCUAAAUGAAAGCACCAAUUUAUGGAUGCAAAUUUCUUCCUCCUUGAUCUUAGACAAAAUAGCACCUACAAAAUAACUAACACCUUUGGUUAAGGCCAAAAGCCUCACGCGCCCACGAUGGAUGGGGGGCUUUGGCCGAAGAACCUCUGAUGCCAAAGUUCGAGUUUAGAAAGAAAAGUAUUUAGAGAGCUUUUUGGGAGUUUUGCAAGAGUGUUGGAACCAACUUUUUAGAGAAAAUGAAGUCCUAUUUAUAGAGCAUGACCGGCCCUCUUUGGAAGAAAGAGUGGCCGGCCCUAGGGUAUUUUUGGGGGUGUAAUGGAUGAUUUAAUUGGUGAUUAAUGGAUUAAUUAGGAAUUAAUUCAUUAAUUAGCCAAUUAACCUCCACUUAAAUGAAAUGUUAUGUAGGUUAUAAAAUAAUUACUUAAGAUGAGGAUGGAUGAAAAUAUCUUUGAAUUUGUUACCUAUUUUGGACACUUUUGACUUGAUUGACGGAUGAUUGUCCGCUGCUCGCGCGUAGGAAUCCCGGUAUGCCUCAAAGGUAUUUUUGUCCUCUUUUACCCAAAAAUCCACAUGUCGCCUUAUGAUUAUUUUUUGCUCCACAGUUGGUGUUCGUUUUUCCUUUGCUUAUUACAUUGUUGCAGAUUGCUGGUGCAGUUGGCGGUCCAAAUCCACAAUCGACAUUCUCGCAGCAAGGCCGUGAAUUGCACAGCCGAUCAAAAUUUUGCUUCUUUAUUAGGUACAAUGUACUAGUUUUUCAGUACCCUAGUACCUAUCUCUUCCUCUUUUUCUUUUUUCUUUUGUGUGUGUGUGUUCUUGAACGAAAAGGUGUUUAUGUCGGUCCUAAUUUUUGUAUAUCUUGUGCAGUUUGGGGUAUAGAAUACCCUCGGAAGCCGACAGCCUGACUUUAAUUAUGCAUCCUGCCAUGAGAGGCCAUAACAGUACUAUUGGUGCGAAGAGUGGCCGCAGUAGAAUAAGCCAGUCAUCCCCUAGAGCAGUACCGCCCUCGGUUAAUAUUUG